rnacentral:rRNA from 1 species
UACGAAGGUCCCAAGCGUUAUCCGGAUUUAUUGGGUUUAAAGGGUGCGUAGGCGGAUUAUUAAGUCAGUGGUGAAAGCCUUCAGCUUAACUGAAGAACUGCCAUUGAUACUGAUGAUCUUGAGUAUGAUUGAGGCGGGCGGAAUGUGUCAUGUAGCGGUGAAAUGCUUAGAUAUGACACAGAACACCGAUUGCGAAGGCAGCUCGCUAAGCCAUAACUGACGCUGAUGCACGAAAGCGUGGGGAGCGAACAGG